CUAUUGUCCGGGACAUUGAAUAAUCAAGGACUAUAACUUUCAUUAUUAGAAGGACUAUAAUUACCAGCAGACCUUUUUGUGAUCCAUCAGCAGCCAACUGUGAUGCUAUGAUCCUGUGAUCCAGCGUCAGAUACUGGACUUAACAGCUACGUCCUCCUGGCCACUCUGCAACCUCCUGUCCGAUGCCAGGGCAAACUCCAACUUGCGGGACAUACCGGGAUCGAGUGUACCUGAGGUCAGCUGACCUGCAAUCAGCUGACCGAUUUCAUCACACGCCGCUACCUCUACAUGCCGCUUACAUCGGACGGUAUCCAUCUUCACGCCGAAACGAGCAUUGUCACCAUCUGUUGGCAGCGGUAUCAGACUGUGAGAAGAGGCUUGACUUCAUUACUGGUUGUCGCCACCUCCAGUCGAAAAGUCACCAUCCCGUGGAGUUUUAACAUCAAGACCCUGUGAACAUCUGACCAAAGGGCGGCAGAGAAUGAUGGGAGAUAAAUCCAUAAAUAUGAAGAUGAAGAACCUUGACCCAUUCUGGCUUUUCAAAAGACCAAGAGUCAGUAAGAUGCAGUACCAAAGGCCCAUCAGGAGGGGAGCAAUGGAAGGCAGGACGCCAUGCCAUGAUACCAGGAGCAGCACAUCCACUCCAAGAAAAGCAGAAGUGAUCAUGGCUCUGCAGCGAGACCAAAACAGAAUACAGGAAGUGGGCACAAGGUUUAGAGAGAGUCUGGACUGUGUGCAUGCAUCCUGAGCCUGUCUGCCUCUACAAGAGGUUCUGUACUGUUCCUGAAAG